CCUACGGGAGGCUGCAGUGAGGAAUAUUGGACAAUGGGGGAAACCCUGAUGCAGCAACGCCGCGUGGGUGAUGAAGGAUCUCGGAAUGUAAACCCCUAUUGUCAGAGAAGAUAAUGACGGUAUCUAACGAAUAAGCACCGGCUAACUCCGUGCCAGCAGCCGCGGUAAUACGGAGGGUACAAGCGUUACUCGGAUUCACUGGGCGUAAAGGGCGCGUAGGCGGGAUGGCAAGUCAGAUGUGAAAUCCUAUGGCUUAACCAUAGUACUGCAUUUGAAACUGUUAUUCUGGAGUAUGGGAGGGGUAGGCGGAAUUCUUGGUGUAGGGGUAAAAUCCGUAGAGAUCAGGAGGAAUACUGAUGGCGAAGGCGGCCUGCUAGAACAUAACUGACGCUGAUGCGCGAAAGCGUGGGGAGCAAACAGGAUUAGAUACCCUAGUAGUC
rnacentral:rRNA from 1 species